GGAGAGGUGGCUGAGUGGACGAAAGCGCAUGAUUGGAAAUCAUGUAUACUUCGAAAGGGGUAUCGAGGGUUCGAAUCCCUCCCUCUCCA
rnacentral:tRNA from 1 species